rnacentral:lncRNA from 1 species
AGAGAAGAUCAUUCAGAAUAAGAGUUAGAUAUAAAAUAUUGUAAAAUAUAUUUAUCAAUAAAAGUAUUUAGUUUUCAUACAAGAUAAGCAACUAACUUUUUAGUUGAAUUAAGGAGCAUAAGCAAGAAAGUAAAGAGAGCGUUGUGAAUUUUAAAAGUAUCUCUGGAGCUCUGGAGGACGGUUGAUCAAGGGCAUUAAAAGAUGUGAUUGCGUGUAGCCCCGAGCCCGUUUUAUCCUGUCUUGAGUUUAGAUCAGAAACUCAGGUACGAUUCUUUAUCAGUAUUGUUUACACUCUUUAAUUCAAUCAUUAAAAAGAAUUUAUUAGUUGAUAAAAGAUGUUAGAAUUAAAGCAUAUAUACAAUGAUAGCCAGUAUCAUGUAAUUGGAAUAGUUAAUAAUCAGUUAUGCAUUAUACUUAUAGAUACAGGAGCAUGCAUGAGUCAUAUCACUUCAAACCUAGUAUGUGAAGUAUAUGAAGCAGAAAGUGAAUUCAGAUAUCGAGACUUUUUAGGUCUAGAACACAUACAGAAUAAAAUAUCAGAAGUAGAAAUAAUACUUAGUCCAAAUCUACAGUUCAAGGUAGAACUUUUGGUAGAUUAUCAAGAGAAGGAAAGUGAAGUACUAUUGGGAAUAGACUUCUUAGAACGAUUCGAGUAUAAAAUUUGAAAAGAAGAACUAGUUUUAAAUAUAGAAGGAAAACAAUUAAGAAUUCCUCGAAUAAGACUAAAUCCACAUCAAAUUAGAGAAAAUCUAGUUUAAUGGAUUUAGAAAAUAAUAUCAUUCAGUUAGAAGACAAUCAAGGAAGAUAUAUUCAAGAUAUCUUGUUAGAUAUGAAAAUAGUUAAUCAAGUUAAAAAUAAAGGAAGUUUAGAUAUAAUUGAAACAGAAUGAGUUAAGACAUCUUUGUUUCAAAAAAUAUCUAGAAAUAAUAUUAUAUAUUAUGGUAUUAUGCAAGGAGAACAACCUGUUAAAAUUGAACAUGCAAUUACUAAGUUUCAAGCAUCGUUAGUUGAUAUAAACCAAAUUGGGAAAAUAUUAGCAACUAUUAAAGACGAAGAUAGAAGUAAGAUAGGAUAUAUGCGCAUCAAUACAACACAAAUAAUCCUUAGAUCAACGUUUAGAGAAGGUAUUAAAACACCUGUAAUUCUAACAGUUGAAGAUAAUAGAAUUAUAAAAAAUCAAUUCAAAAAGUUAGGAGAAAUUGAAGGAGAUCUAGGAUAUACAACAAUAAAUUUUGUGUAUCUCUUCAGUUCCCUAUACCACUAAGCACAAAGAAAAUAGAUAAUUGUCUAGGAAUAAUUUGUAAUUUCCUAGAAAAAGAUUUAAUGGAAAAGGUGGUAUUUCUUUUGGUAAUAUGCUACAGAAUAGCCUAUGCAUUAAAUAAUUCUUGUUUAAGUUUAACUUACAAGAAUCGGGAAAAUAUUUAUACAGAAAAAUUAUUUAGUGAAACUACUACAUUAAUAAAAAAUGAUGAAGUAUCAAGAGAGUUUCUUAGAACCCAUAGUUCGGAAAUCUACCCUUUAAGAUAGAACAAAGUAAUUUAUUACCAAAUUCUAGUCAAAUAAAUAGACCAACAAGCAAGAAGACAUUAUUUGAAGAAGAUCAAGAAAUAAGAAAAAUGAAUAAGCAGAUAGGUGAAUUAAACAUAUUAGUUUCAAAUCUAAGCAAUAAGAUAUAAAAUGGAAAGAUUAAUAAUACAAAAUAUAGAUUUAAAACAAAGAAUAAAGAAAUUAGAAGAUGAAAAUGAAGAGCAGCAUGAUUUAAUGCUAGGAAGUUAGUAAUACAAAAUAUAGAUCUAAAACAAAGAAUAAAAGAAUUAGAAGAAGAAAAUGAAGAGCAGCAUAAUUUAAUGCUAGCAAAAGAUAAAGUAAUCAAAAAGCAAGAAGAAUUUGUAAUGAAUCUAUUAAAAGGAAUAGAUAGAUUACAAAAAUAAUUAGAUUGACAGACAGACUUAGAAAUUGAGUCCCCUAAUACAGUUUAAUAAUAUAUUCCGCAACAAUAAUGUCAAAAGAAGAUAACUUAGAAAAUCCAUUUAGAAAAGAUAUACAAUAUGAACAAAUAUAUACAUUAGAACCAAACAAAAAAGCAUUCUUACCAAUAAGACAAAAGUCUUACCUAUUAGAUGAAAAUAUAAAAGAAACAGAGUUUUAUAUCUCUGCAGGAAAAGAAAUAUAUAAACAGAAUAUAAGUAAAAAUUUACAAACAGUUAUUAGAAUACAAAAUAAUCAAAAAAAAAUAUUAGCAUAUAUCUGUAAUGUAUUAUUUGAAGGCAUUAUAGAACCCCACAAGAAAAUUUCUAUAGCAAUUAAUAAUCAUUUAGAAAGAUUUAAGGAUAUGAACAGAGAGAUUGAUAAUCUUAAAAAGCAACAAGAAGAAUCUAAUAGACUUGAAGAACAAUUAGUUGAAAUUAGUAAUAAGAUAACUCAAAUAUUAGGAAAAAUAUAAUGAAUGAACCACCAAGAGUUUCAGAACAAAUAAAUACACUAAUAGAAUUAGUUAAACAAAAUAUGGAAAUACAAAACAAGGUUAUAAGCAGAUUAGAAGAAAUAAAUCAAACAGUUAAAAAACCUAAAGAAAAUAAGUAUAAAUACCAAGAACUUAUAGACUACCUUAAAUAAAAAGGUAAAAGAGAAGAAACAUGUAGUAGUACAUAACAGGUGUGCAUAGAUAAAAAACAAGUUUAAGACUUGCUACAAGAAACUGUAAAAGCUUAAAGUAAAAAGAAGUGUUUAACAGAAGAAGAAUUUAAAAAGUAUUUUAGGAAAGAACCAAAGCCUAAAAUAAAAAUAGAAGAACCUACAUGAUUACUAUCUAGAGAGAAAAUAUCAUGGAUGAAGUUCAAAGACUAACUGAUCUUCUAGAAAGAUUCAAUUUAGACGACAUUUAUAUGUCAAAAAUAGAUGAAGAAGACAAAGAAGGUAUUAUCUAUGGCGUAGAUAGUGAUGAAGAUGAACCUUUCGUUCAUACGGGGGAAGAAGAAGAUAAAAAACCACAAUCUAGUCCAAAAAGACCUAGAUCACCAGUUUACAUAGGAGAAUCAAGCAAUAAUAAUAAUGAAACUAAUUUUACAAGAAGUUUUAGAGAUUAUUCAUAUAGAAAUGACUAUAUCGUUAAUCAAGGAAAAUUGCAUAAAGGAAUUCCACCAAAGUAUAUAGAAAAAGAAAGAAGCAUAACAAAUGGUAUUUUAAAUAUCAAUUGUACAUCAAAUACAGAAUAGUUAAUCUUAGCAUAAUGGAUUAACCAGUUAAAAUUACUAGUACAAACUAAAGAUGAACCAAUUAGUAAUUUAACAAUUCAAGAUUUUUCUAAUUACAUCAAAUAUAAAACUACAGGUAUUAUUUUUGAAUGGUUAGAAACGACUGCUAUAGAAAUACCAUAUGCAAAAACAGAAGUGUCAAUAGAGUCGAAAUUGUUUACUUUGGAUAUAACAGCAAAAGCAAUUUUUAAAGAAUUCUUAAGAAUUACUGAUAUAAAGAAUAUAAAAGAAAAAAGAGACCAAGUAAUUAGAAUAUUAUCAAAUAUGAAAUUAUGUGAUCCCUGUUAUAUAGAAAACUUUUUCUGUCAAGUUAGAGAAAAUUUCUAUAAAACAGCAAAUCGUCAAGAAUUACUAGAAAUAGUAGAAAGCAAAUUACCUUAUGAAAUAACAAAAUAUAUUGAGGAAAAAAUAGGAAGUCAAGAAAAAAUAUUAGGAUUACUAGAAAAGUUAAGUAAAGAAUACAGAGAAAAUCUCUGUAUUAGGAAAGUAGAACAAACACAUAUUCAAAGAAUAAACAUAGGAUGUUGUAAGCAAUUAGAUACUACACCACAACAGUUUGGAUGUACAUAUCCAAACGAAGAAUAAAUAAAAAGAAAUUUCAUAGAAAUUUUAGACCUAGAAAAUAUAAUACAUAUAAAAAACCUUGGAAGAAAAAAUGGCAAAAUAGAUAUAAGAAAAAAGUAUCAAAACAAAAAGCUUGCCCUAGAUGAAAGAAAACAUGUAGAUGUUGGAAAUGCCAAGAAAUAGGCCAUUAUGCAAACGAGUGUCCAUUGUUGGAUAAAGAAAAGACAAAAAGCUAAAAAUGAUAUAUUCAUUAGGUUUCGAACCUAUCGAGGAAAUAUAUAGUGAAGACGAGGAAAUAGAUUUUGAUACAUAUAGUUUUGAAUCUGAUUUAUUCAGAAAGUGAAACAGAAAGUGAAACAGAAAGUGACAAUGAGUAAAAAUAGUACGUUUAUCAAAAUUAAAAUCUUAGACAAAACUAUUUUAGCUUAUGUAGAUACAGGUGCUACAAUUUGUUUACACAAGAAAAGCUACUACCAAGUAAGUACUGGAAAAAACUAAAAUAUCCAAUACCAGUUCGUAUAGCAAACAAUAAGUUAAUACAGAUCGAAUAUAAAGCAAUAGAUUUCGUAAUUUUUAUAGAAGGAUGAAAAUUCUUACUACUUAGUAUUUAUAAGCAAAAUACAUGAUAGGAAACAAUUUCCUUAAAUUACAUAGUCCAUUCAUACAGAAACUAGAUACAGUCACGCUACGGCGUCCAAAUCUAGAAAAUCAAAAAUCUCACUUAGUUACAACUAAGAUAUAUAAUACACAAUCUUUUGUGAAGGGGAGAUUAUAAAAAGAAUUGUUACACUUCUUGAAGAAAAAUUAGAACAGCAAAUUUUUAACUUGUUAGAUUAGGUUUGUAGCCAAGAUGCACUCGGCCCUAAAAAGAAUAAAAACAAUAUGGAAGUUAUGAUUGAAUUAAUAGAUCCUAAUAAGGAAAUAAAUGUACCAAAUAACAUUCCAUAUACAUAAAGAGAUGCAGAAGAAUUUGCUAAAGAAACUAAGCAAAUGUUAGAAAAAGGAAUAAUAAGACCAAGUCACUGUCCACAUAGUGCACCAGCAUUUUACGUCGAAAAUCAUAAUGAAUUAAAAGAGGACGUAAAAGAAUGGUUAUAAAUAAUAAAAGGAUGAACGAAGCAGCAUUUAACAGAUGUUUAUAAAGUUUUAAACACAUUUAGUUGUCCGCCUCAAAACCAAUAUGAGUUUAAUGUUUUACCUUUUGGUUUAAAGCAGGCACCAAGUAUAUACCAAAAAUUUGUGGAUACUAACCUUGCAGGUUUAGAAUCUAUAUGUCUAGCAUAUAUUGAUGAUAUUAUCAUUUUACAAAUGGUAAUAAAGAAGAACAUUUAGCAGAUAUUUAUAAAGUUUUAAAUAGAUUGAAAGAAAAAGGAGUUAUUCUUUCAAAAGAAAAAGUAAAGAUUUGUAAACAAGAAGUUGAGUUUUUAGGAAUGAAAAUUCUUAAAAAUGGUUUCAUUGAAACACAAAAACAUUUACUAGAAAAAUUGAUCUAUUUCCAGAUCAAUUAGAAAAUAAAAAACAGAUAUAGAGAUUUCUUGGAUAUUUAAAUUACAUUGGAGAAAAAGGUUUUAUAAGAGAUCUUUCGAAACAUAGAAGUAUUUUACAAAAAAUGACUUCAGAAAAGGUACCAUGGAAAUGGACCGAGAAAGCAACUCAAGAAGUAAAGUUUUUAAAGAAUUUAUGCAAGAAACUACCGAGGCUAUAUUUAGCUAAGCCUAGUGAUUUACUAGUCUUGAAUACUGAUGCUAGUAUAGAUACAUGGGGCGCUGUCCUAUUAGCUAUACCAGAAGCAUAUGAAGAAUUCAAACAGUUCAUCAUGAACAACAGACCCUCUCAAAUUUAAUCGUUUUUAAGGCGUUAUGAUAAAUGAGGUUUGGAAGACGAUCCUUCAGAACAUCAAUGCAAUUCAGAAUCUGAUUUAUCAGAUAGCAAAGGUAUUUUGUUGUCCAAAUGGGCUUCAGGAACCUUUAAGCCAUCUGAGAUAAAUUAUACAGUCCAUGAGAAGGAAACUUUAGCUCUCAUAAAGGCACUAGAGAAAUUCAGGAUUGAUUUACAACCAGUGAAAUUCUUAUACCAAACAAAUUCUUCUUAUGCUAGAGAUUUUGUUAAGCAUAGAUUAAAAGAAGGAUACAACAAAGGGAGACUAUUACGAUGGAGUCUUAAAGCUCAAGAGUUUGAUUUUGUUGCAGUACAUAUAAAGGAAGAAGAGAACACUUUAGCAGAUACCCUAACUAGGGAAUGGAAGCACUUAGAAAUCUAGCCAUGGAGCAACGGAAGUUACUCGAGAAAAGGCUGAAAGAUUUACAAAUAGAGAUUAGUAAAACGCAAAAAGAAAUUAAUGCAUGAUGAAAUUUUAGAUGAAAAAGAAAAA